rnacentral:rRNA from 1 species
AGAGUUUGAUCAUGGCUCAGAAUCAACGCUGGCGGCGCGCCUAACACAUGCAAGUCGAACGAGAAAGUGGAGCAAUCCAUGAGUACAGUGGCGUACGGGUGAGUAACACGUGGGUUAUCUGCCUCUUAGUGUGGAAUAACCCUGGGAAACCGGGGCUAAUACCGCAUAAGCUCGAGAGAGGAAAGCAGCAAUGCGCUGAGAGAGGAGCCCGCGGCCGAUUAGCUAGUUGGCAGGGUAAAAGCCUACCAAGGCAAAGAUCGGUAGCCGGCCUGAGAGGGCACACGGCCACACUGGCACUGAAACACGGGCCAGACUCCUACGGGAGGCAGCAGUGGGGAAUCUUGCACAAUGGGGGAAACCCUGAUGCAGCGACGCCGCGUGAGCGAUGAAGCCCUUCGGGGUGUAAAGCUCUUUCGGCAGGGAAGAUGAUGACGGUACCUGCAGAAGCAGCUGCGGCUAACUACGUGCCAGCAGCCGCGGUAAUACGUAGGCAGCAAGCGUUGUUCGGAGUUACUGGGCGUAAAGGGUGUGUAGGCGGUUGUUUAAGUUUGGUGUGAAAUCUCCCGGCUCAACUGGGAGGGUGCGCCGAAUACUGAAUGACUCGAGUGCGGGAGAGGAGAGUGGAAUUCCUGGUGUAGCGGUGAAAUGCGUAGAUAUCAGGAGGAACACCGGCGGUGUAGACGGCUCUCUGGACCGUAACUGACGCUGAAACACGAAAGCGUGGGUAGCAAACAGGAUUAGAUACCCUGGUAGUCCACGCCCUAAACGAUGCAUAUUUGGUGUGGGUCAUUCAGUUGAUCCGUGCCGGAGCUAACGCGUUAAAUAUGCCGCCUGGGGAGUACAGUCGCGAGGCUGAAACUCAAAGGAAUUGACGGGGGCCCGCACAAGCGGUGGAGCAUGUGGUUCAAUUCGACGCAACGCGAAGAACCUUACCUGGGCUCGAACGGCCGGUUACCGGCGGUGGAAACAUCGCUACCCCGCAAGGGGGUCCGGUCGAGGUGCUGCAUGGCUGUCGUCAG